CACGGGGGGAGCAAGCGUUGUUCGGAAUCACUGGGCGUAAAGGGCGUGUAGGCGGUCAAGUAAGUGGAAUGUGAAAGCCCCCGGCUUACCCGGGGAUCUGCAUCCCAUACUGCUUGGCUUGAGUACGGGAGAGGAUGGAGGAAUUCCUGGUGUAGCGGUGAAAUGCGUAGAUAUCAGGAGGAACACCGGUGGCGAAGGCGUCCAUCUGGCCCGAUACUGACGCUGAGGCGCGAAAGCUAGGGGAGCGAACGGG
rnacentral:rRNA from 1 species